AUGGAGACCGAUGUCGGUGUAAAACCAGCGCUCGCUCAUAUCGGCAAUGCCGGUGUGGUUGGCACCUCAUCUCGGCUGGAUGCCGAGUUUACGGCAGUCCGUCAAGACAAAGGACGCCGCCUCAAGGGGCCAUCAAAACUUAGUGUUGGUGAAGCCAUGUCACCUCCUAGCCAUCUCGCCUCGUCUUCAUGGGCUUUGGGCCACGGAGAGCGCCGUGUGUCACCAUCAUCUCCUCUGGGUCACGGACGAUACCGUGUAGCACCAUCUUCUCCGUGUUACGGGCAGUACCGGGGCGUGCAUCCUCUUCAUGGUUCCGGGUCGCGGGCUCCAUCUUGA
rnacentral:rRNA from 1 species